rnacentral:rRNA from 1 species
CCUACGGGAGGCUGCAGUGGGGAAUAUUGCACAAUGGGCGCAAGCCUGAUGCAGCCAUGCCGCGUGUGUGAAGAAGGCCUUCGGGUUGUAAAGCACUUUCAGCGGGGAGGAAGGCGGUGAGGUUAAUAACCUCAUCGAUUGAAGUUACCCGCAGAAGAAGCACCGGCUAACUCCGUGCCAGCAGCCGCGGUAAUACGGAGGGUGCAAGCGUUAAUCGGAAUUACUGGGCGUAAAGCGCACGCAGGCGGUCUGUCAAGUCGGAUGUGAAAUCCCCGGGCUCAACCUGGGAACUGCAUUCGAAACUGGCAGGCUAGAGUCUUGUAGAGGGGGGUAGAAUUCCAGGUGUAGCGGUGAAAUGCGUAGAGAUCUGGAGGAAUACCGGUGGCGAAGGCGGCCCCCUGGACAAAGACUGACGCUCAGGUGCGAAAGCGUGGGGAGCAAACAGGAUUAGAUACCCGUGUAGUC